rnacentral:pre_miRNA from 1 species
GAGACACCCCUAUGGGGCAAGAUUUGCUUCAGUGAGUCUCUGGUGCUCACUGAGUCUGCUCCCUGAGUGUGUCCCU